rnacentral:rRNA from 1 species
CCUACGGGAUGCACCAGUGGGGAAUCUUGCGCAAUGGGCGAAAGCCUGACGCAGCCAUGCCGCGUGAAUGAUGAAGGUCUUAGGAUUGUAAAAUUCUUUCACCGGGGACGAUAAUGACGGUACCCGGAGAAGAAGCCCCGGCUAACUUCGUGCCAGCAGCCGCGGUAAUACGAAGGGGGCUAGCGUUGCUCGGAAUUACUGGGCGUAAAGGGCGCGUAGGCGGAUCGUUAAGUCAGGGGUGAAAUCCCAGAGCUCAACUCUGGAACUGCCUUUGAUACUGGCGAUCUUGAGUGUGAGAGAGGUGUGUGGAACUCCGAGUGUAGAGGUGAAAUUCGUAGAUAUUCGGAAGAACACCAGUGGCGAAGGCGACAUACUGGCUCAUUACUGACGCUGAGGCGCGAAAGCGUGGGGAGCAAACAGGAUUAGAUACCCCUGUAGUC